CCUACGGGUGGCAGCAGUGGGGGAUAUUGCACAAUGGGGGAAACCCUGAUGCAGCGACGCCGCGUGAGUGAAGAAGUAUUUCGGUAUGUAAAGCUCUAUCAGCAGGGAAGAAAAAAGACGGUACCUGACUAAGAAGCCCCGGCUAACUACGUGCCAGCAGCCGCGGUAAUACGUAGGGGGCAAGCGUUAUCCGGAUUUACUGGGGGUAAAGGGAGCGUAGACGGCAAUACAAGUCGGAAGUGAAAUACCCGGGCUCAACCUGGGAACUGCUUUGGAAACUGGAUGGCUGGAGUGCUGGAGAGGUAAGCGGAAUUCCUAGUGUAGCGGUGAAAUGCGUAGAUAUUAGGAGGAACACCAGUGGCGAAGGCGGCUUACUGGACAUUAACUGACGCUGAGGCACGAAGGCCAGGGGAGCGAAAGGGAUUAGAUACCCUUGUAGUC
rnacentral:rRNA from 1 species